GAUGAAGAACGCAGCGAAAUGCGAUAAGUAGUGUGGAUUGCAGAAUUCAGUGAAUCAUCGAAUCUUUGAACGCACAUUGCGCCCCUUGGUAUUCCAUGGGGCAUGCCUGUUCGAGCGUCAUUUGUACCUUCAAGCUCUGCUUGGUGUUGGGUGUUUGUCUCGCCUCCGCGUGUAGACUCGCCUUAAAACAAUUGGCAGCCGGCGUAUUGAUUUCGGAGCGCAGUACAUCUCGCGCUUUGCACUCAUAACGACGACGUCCAAAAGUACAUUUUUACACUCUUGACCUCGGAUCAGGUAGGGAUACCCGCUGAACUUAAGCAUAUCAAUAAGCGGAGGA
rnacentral:misc_RNA from 1 species